GCUAUCCAUCCCCUCUAGGGGUGACGUGGGCUUUUCAUUGGAGUUGAUUCAUAAUAUAAAGGCUCGUGUGAAACAACCUGCCAUCUCCACUUGAAGAUGUGGACACCUUGUUCUGAUCCAAAGGCCCAAGCAAGAUGGAGAUCAGUCAGGCCAAGGUGCAGGAACAGAAGGGAAGGAAAGGCAAAGAGAAAUCAGGACCGUGAACAAGGACCAAGCCACAAAGGCUCCCAGAGUGGCAUGCAAAAACCAGUAGGAAGACAGUCCCUUCCCUCAGGGCUACAGCGUGAUGGGGAUGAGAUUUCAUAUUCAAUAUUAGCUAUCACAGAUCAAAUUUUGAAAUGCCAGCCUUGGGUGUCAGAUAAAGAGGACCUUUGAAAUGAGUUUGAGAGCUGCAGGCUGUCCUCCCUGCCCUGUGGAACUGGAAGCAGCGGGGAACCGUCCUCUGCAACUGAGUAACUGAAGUUGCCGAAAGAGAUCGCUGACACUUUGGAUGCAUUUGAUGGUGAAAAUGGCAUACUGUCUUUGUGGUUUUAAGAUUUCCUCUGCCUGCUUGUUUCUCUGGCUUCAUGAGAAGCUUCCUCCACCACCUUCAUCAUGGUUUAUUACAGUCUCCAAAUUAAAAAUAAUUAU